rnacentral:lncRNA from 1 species
CCCCUUAUAUAAUUGUAUACAUGAUAAGGAAACAUCAUUUUAUUCAUAUUAUUACAACUAAAAGCAAUUUAAAGCUUUUUGUGUGACGGCUAAGGAACAUUUGGAUUACUAGUAGGAUGAAACAAAGUGGGGUACAAAUCUUUUGGUAACAUAUCAACAUUCAAUUUUGUAUGAGUAGAUGCAUAAGGUGGAUCUGGAGUUUCUCCUCUACUAGGUCCAGAUGGAGGAACAGGCCCUUUAGGUAACAUACCAAAUUUCAAACUUUUAGGAAAAGGAUAUGGGGUUUUUCCUCUACUAGGCCCAGAUGAAGGAAUAGACCCUUUAGAUAAUAUACCAAAAUUCAAAUCACUCCGAAUUUUCACAGAAGAACAAGAAACACACAAACAUAUUACUAAUGACAAUAUGAAAUUUACCCUCAACAUAUUUUCUCUCGUUUUCAUGUUCAUAUUGUUCACUUUUCUCUGGCUAACUCUUUUUGUUGCUAUUGUUCAAAGGAUUGACCCUUUAAAUAG